UACGUAGGGCGCAAGCGUUAUCCGGAAUUAUUGGGCGUAAAGGGCUCGUAGGCGGUUUGUCGCGUCGGGAGUGAAAACUCAGGGCUUAACCCUGAAGCCUGCUUCCGAUACGGGCAGACUAGAGGUAUGCAGGGGGAGAAUGGAAUUCCUGGUGUAGCGGUGAAAUGCGUAGAUAUCGGGAGGAACACCUGUGGCGAAAGCGGCUCACUGGACCACAACUGACGCUGAGGCGCGAAAGCUAGGGGAGCAAACAGGGAUUAAGAAACCCUAGUACGUCC
rnacentral:rRNA from 1 species